AGGAUGACACCCGCUUAAUGUGACCCGACCCGAACCGACAUAUACCGGGUUGUUAUGUGAUCGAGUUGGAGACCUGACUAUCAAUGGGUUUUUUAUAUUGCUCUCAACCUGCCCGAAUAUAAAUAUCAACUUAUCUUCAGGCUUCAAUUUUCAAUUUCUCAGACUCAAGCUCUAGUUGCCACUGCUUCUUUCUCAGCCUCUUAAGUUGUGGGUUGUGUCUUUCGGACAAGCACUGGCCGAGAUCUAAGAUGGAGUGUGAUCAGAGAGAUGGGGUCGCGGUGGACUUUUCUCCUUGCAGCAACAAAGCGCUGAAAUGGGUUCUCUAAGAAGAAGACGCUCAAUGUUUGAGUUGCUUGUGCUUACACCCCCAUGUCCAAUUGGAAAGACUUUCGCUACUUUCUUAGACUUAGAUUUACAAGGUAUCAAUUUCAUGUGAUUUUCAUAUUAAACAUACAAAGAUUGGAAUGAAAUGUAAACCAUAAAGGACCAUCAUUCGAAAAAAUUUCAAGGAAACUCUGGGAUGGAUUCCACUUUCAUCAGUGAAGCCAUCGCUGCUUGCAUCGUGUUCAUAAAGAAGAUUGCCGACGAGGAGAACUGCAACUCUUCUACAAAGCUGAACUUCGCAUUUUUUGUUUUUUGGAAUAUUUUCUUGCGAUUGAGGUUCUGAGCUUGAUAAUUUGGUAUUAUGAUUAGAUCUGAGAUAUAGAUGAUAGAAAUAUUUUGUAAAUCAAUGUGGAUGUACAGAAUGUAUAUAUAUAUAUAUAUAUAUAUUUUUUUUUUUGCCCGCUUUGGUGAAGGUCGGGUUGCACGGGCUCGACCCAAUUUUGGUUUGUUUGGGUCAGUUCGGUUUGGGUUGGCGCCUUGGAUGGUCCCGUUCGGGUCAGAUUAGGUGCAAACCCGGUUGUCUGAGGUUGGGUUGCAGGCCUAGUAUAUGCAACCUUCAAAGCCGUUUAUGAUUUGGCUGGACCAUUCUUAAACCUGCCAGCAAUGGACAAGCUUUUUUCUUUGUUCGCAAAAGUUCCGGAGACUUAAUCCAAGAAAGGGUGUUGAUGCUAGAGAAGAUAUCUUUGGUGCUUAUAGAAUUUUAAUCUGUACGUGUUUAUUUGGGGUAUAUAGAAUGAAGAAUUGCUAUAGCAGUUGGACUUAGGCAAGGGCAAAUUACACUUACCGAUAAGUGAAUGUUGCUGUCUGACUGAGGUACUGUGAAGGGAGUACGUUGUCCCCAUGGUGCCGUGUGUAAGUUAUAACCGUGUGAGGUUGUCUCUCUAGUUAAGGCUUGUGCAAGUCUGAUGUAUCCUAUUUCGAUAGGAUUGUCUGGUUCACUACAUUGUAAA